GCAAAGCCUUAUUACCUAUUAAAUCCCUAGUCUAAAGUUUACAGAUAAACAAUUAUUUAGACGUACUCUUAGUAACCCGUAUGCAGUGUACACGUAUAUAGGUAACGUUUGAAAUGUUCUAUAUCCUGAUAUUUUCAUAUUUAUACAAUGACAAGAGAAAUUAAUUCUACCACACACCAUAUAAUAUACAAAAAAAAAAAAAAAAUAUUUAAUAAUUAUUAUUCCAAAAUAUUUAAUUUAAAAAAUAUAAGCCUUUUUUUUCAAUUUUAGUUGUAAUAAUUACUGUACAACACUCUGUAU